rnacentral:lncRNA from 1 species
GAAAUCAACUGGAUUCAUCUUGGAUCUGCUUAAGAAUGCGGAAAGUAAUGCAGAGGUACAUACCUAUUAAAUAUUGGCUGUUAAAGUAACUGCAAUAUCGAAUCAACUGUAAGUUCACUGUUGAGUGAAAUUUAAUUUAUUGUUUCCUUCCAACUGAAACCCAUUCAUCAUAUGUCUCGUGGCAGCUUAGAUGUCCUCUCCAUGUCAUAUUGAAUUGAGUUUGUCGGAGAAGGAAGAGCCCCUCGAGAAAGAGGUAAUUUAUUAGACUACCUUUCAACUCUUUACAAUGGAACUUCUGGGUUUUCGGUGAUGAUACUCCUGGAAUUUAUUGGACUACUAUUCUACUCUUUAUAAUCGAACUUCUGAAAUUUUGGCAAAAGUUUGGGAAAUUUACCACUACGUAUGUACCAUUAGAUCUGUCAACUGUCAAGUUCAAUUCAUAUUCUCUUGCGUAGCUGCUGAAACCUUUUUAUAUGCAGCCGGAAGCUCAAAUUGCUGCCAACAAGCCCAAGAAAGCUUAAGCCAUCCGGAGUGGAGCCUCAAGAAGCAUUAUUCUUGAGGAAGAUUUCAGCCCUGUUUUCUUUAAUUUGCUGAAGAUUAAUUUUGUCAUGAAACAGUACACCGUUGCAUUGUGUAUCUAUACUGCAAAUU